GUUGGCUGUCCUUCCCACUUUGGAUACCUUACUUUUUAGUAGAAAAAAAGUACCAAACACAACACUAUAUUGCCCUAAAAUUAUUGGGUCAUUCCUUGCAAGAUGCUACUGACUGGUUUUUCAUGACCAAAAAACGAAAUAUUGUUUCUCUCCUUACAGAUUUAGGUUGUUGUCAUUUCACUUGUUUCCAAUGCAGAUUCUGCUUAUUUUUCCUUGUAUAUCUACUUCUCUUCCUACGCUUGCUUUCUUAUUCAGUUGGUGUGAUUUCUUGGAAGAUAAUUCAUUUUGCUAUCCUCAUAUUCAGCAUGGUAUUCAUAUCGAUCGUUUUCCUGAAUUUUUGGAUGGUCUCAUUAGGGGUAUAUUGAUGUUGUAUGUUUAUUGAAAAUUUUGGUUUCAUUUGUUGAUUCUAUAGCUUCCUGAUGAAUUUGUUGGUGUCAGUAAUACCUGUGGCUGUCAGAAUGAAUAUGAUAAUAUUAUAGCACCCUUACCAAGUAUUGAAUACAGGGUAUAAUGAUGAAACUCUUUCUCUUGUAAGCUUUAUUUUUAUUCCUCAAUAGCAUAAGUUAUGUAUUUUCAGAAGUAUUUGAUAAGAGUGGCAUCUUUGAUCUUUGUAUGCUUAAUAUUUAUUACAGGGAUGUUGCAGGGCAGGAAAGAUUCAGGAGUCUUAUUCCAAGUUAUAUUAGGGAUUCCUCUGUGGCUGUCGUUGUCUAUGUUGUUGCAAGCAGGCAGUCCUUCGUAAAUACUUCAAAGUGGAUUGAAGAGGCAAGUCUCAAAUAGAGGAAGCAGAAGCCAAGGAUCGUGACUUGAAUGUUAUGUUUAUUGAAACUAGUGCCAAGGCUGGCUUCAAUAUCAAGGCUCUAUUUCGGAAGAUUGCAGCUGCUUUACCUGGAAUGGAAACACUUUCUUCUACAACGCAAGAAGACAUGGUUGAUGUCAAUCUUAAGUCUACCAAUGCAAAUGCAUCUCAAUCACAGCAACAGUCUGGAGGAUGUGCCUGCUGAUUAGCACAUCAUUAACCUUGACUCUAGUUUUAGAGGUUUACAUUUAUGCUCCAGUGAUCCUACAGAAGUGUUGUAAAAAAAUUGCCCUUCCCUUUAUCUGUAGCAUCGGGCUUUUGAGUUUAGUUGUACAUUUAAGGACAUAAACCUGAGAGAGGAGAUUGUGUUAUGAUAGUUAUAGGCUAGUCCUAACCUGCCCUAUAUAAUGUGAUAUAUCAAACAAACAUUAGUGCCAAAUUUACAUACUGUUAGUCAUCCAUUGUUAAAGAAAAUGGGGAAUUGAAAAAUGCUUCAGAUUAGGGAAUUGUGUUUUGUAACUGGGUGUUGAAUUGUUAAGUGAUGCAGUGAUACCCUUUCUUAGUUCAGAAAAUUAUUGUAAGUUCAUACCGUUUUUAGAUUUCUCCAAAUGAUAGCAAGAAGGGGGUUUUCUUCUCU